rnacentral:rRNA from 1 species
GUUAAUAGUCAUACUCAUUUUGACGUUUAGCUGCAGAAGAAGCACCGGCUUAACUCCGUUGCCAGCUAGCCGCGGUAAUACGGAGGGUGCGAGCGUUAAUCGGAAUUACUGGGCGUAAAGCGCAUGCAGGUGGUUUGUUAAGUCAGAUGUGAAAAGCCCGGGGCUCAACCUCGGAAUUGCAUUUGAAACUGGCAAACUAGAGUACUGUAGAGGGGGUAGAAUUUCAGGUGUAGCGGUGAAAUGCGUAGAGAUCUGAAGGAAUACCGGUGGCGAAGGCGGCCCCCUGGACAGAUACUGACACUCAGAUGCGAAAGCGUGGGGAGCAAACAGGAUUAGAUACCCUGUAG